CCUACGGGUGGCUGCAGUGAGGAAUAUUGGUCAAUGGGCGCAAGCCUGAACCAGCCAAGUCGCGUGAGGGAUGACGGUCCUAUGGAUUGUAAACCUCUUUUGUCGGGGAGCAAGGCCCGCCACGUGUGGCGGGAAGGAGAGUACCCUAAGAAAAAGCAUCGGCUAACUCCGUGCCAGCAGCCGCGGUAAUACGGAGGAUGCGAGCUUUAUCCGGAUUUGUUGGGUUUAAAGGGUACGUGGGGGGAAGGUUAAGUCAGCGGUAAAAUUGGGGGGUUCAACACCGGCCUGCCGUUGAAACUGGUCUUCUUGAGUGAGCGAGAAGUAUGCGGAAUGCGUGGUGUAGCGGUGAAAUGCAUAGAUAUCACGCAGAACUCUGAUUGCGAAGGCAGCAUACCGGCGCUCAACUGACGCUGAGGCACGAAAGCGUGGGGAUCGAACAGGAUUAGAUACCCGGGUAGUC
rnacentral:rRNA from 1 species